CCUUUUCUGAACAAAUAUUUUCAUGUCCAAAGUUAUUUUUCUUUCUUUCCUCUAUUAGUUUAUUCCUUAACUCAGGUGUUAGGAAAAACACAAUCUGAUUGAAUUACAUGAAGAUGUAAAUAUCUCCUAGCCUUUAACCUUAGAGAGAUUUGUAUUUUAAGAAGAAAAUCUUGGUUAACUCAGAUUUUUUGGGAAUGAUGUGAAAAACUCCAGAACAUAGAGGAGAAGAUUCAACACUCAAGCUACACACAAUUUUGAGAGUUAAACGUGAAUGAGGCACUAGUGAUAAAAGAAUGAAUAGAGACACUUGUCAAUGUGAGUUUUUGGUGUCCCUUAGGAGAAAUUCUGUGCAAUAAAGAGGCUAUGUAUGGCCA
rnacentral:lncRNA from 1 species